rnacentral:rRNA from 1 species
UUGAUUACGUCCCUGCCCUUUGUACACACCGCCCGUCGCUGCCCGGGACUGAGCCAUUUCGAGAAACUUGGGGACCGCUGGCUGGCUGCCUCCGGGUGGGCUGUUGGUGGAAACCAAUUUAAUCGCAGUGGCUUGAACCGGGCAAAAGUCGUAACAAGGUAGCUGUAGGUGAACCUGCUGCUGGAUCAUUACAUGCACCGUGAUGGUCACAUUAUGCAGAACGGCUUAUUUCAAAGCAUUUUACAAGAGAAAUAAGCGCGCUUCCAAUGCAGCCUGGAAGUGAACGGCUAACGCUGGUGUCUGUGUGUCGCUGAGCAGACUGUUUUCGUCCGUGGUUGUGAUGAGGCGACAUGUUAGGACUGGGACACGCAUAGUCAGUGCGUGCAGUUUAAGACUCAAUGAGCCCACGGCUACGGGCCGCCAGCAUUUAUUUUUUUCAAUAAAUUUUUAUACCAAGAGAAAGAAUUUUAAUCUUAUCGGUAGAUCACUCGGCUCGUGGGUCGAUGAAGAGCGCAGCUAACUGCGAUAACUAGUGUGAACCGCAGAAACAUUGAACACUAAAGUCUCGAAUGCACAUUGCGCCAUUGGAGUCAUAUCCAUUGGAGCGCCUGGUUCAGGGUCAUGAAAGACACAAAAACGAGAAACUUUGCUGGAACAAGAAUAUUCAUAUGAGCAGAACUGUAUGCGUAAUUUUAUGCUGGAAAUUGGAUUUGUUGCUCUGUGUGUGGGUGCUUAUGUUCUUAGCGUGUGGAAACAUAGCAUCGCAGGAUGGCGCACACAAGCAACAAUAUCUCGGAGAAUUGCACAAUGACCUGAACUCAGACGUGACUACCCGCUGAACUUAAGCAUAUCAGUAAGCGGAGGAAAAGAAACUAACAGGGAUUCCCUUAGUAACGGCGAGUGAAA